UAAAAUAGUCUUUCUCGCUAGCCU
rnacentral:siRNA from 1 species